AUGCUCAACGUGGAGCCCUCAUUUGCAGAGGAGCUGCGGAGCAGCGGGGUUUCUCUGUCGGCUACUUACCUCGGAAGUGUUCCAGUAGUCGAGUCAAUUAACGUGAUGGUUUCCGAGAUGAGAGUUCAAGUUGUUUCGUUAGUUUUUCUUAUGGCUUAAAAUCAAAAAAAAAUCUUAUUCAAAAAUUUAGAAAUCAGGCGGUAGGCAGGCAUGAAGGCAGGUAACAUCUGCAAGCUCAAAUAUAUAAAAAAUCUACGUAAUAAAGUAACUGUUCAAUUUUCAGAGAAUGUAUACAACACGUUGCAGCUACUGUUGGCGUGACUGCGGCUCGAGAAAUCAAUCCAGUUGUUAGUAGGGUAAUCGGUGAAGUGAAAAAAGAAAACUUCCCCGUAGACAUCAACAUUUCCUCGAAAAUGAUCAAAAUCAUAAAACAAAGUCGUCUAAUUCAACGUCAUCCCUUCUCAUUCUUCUCAUUCGGAGCCCAAGGCCAAAAGGGUACGGACACGGAGCUAAUGUUCGGCUACAUUGCAAAAAACAAGGAUGGAACGGAUCGUCGAUGCCACGUGGUGUUCAUCGAGGAUGUGCACAAGCUCAUCGACGUCCUUACCACUGCGAUCAAUGUGAACACUUUUGAUGCACAGGCGAAUGCUUCAACUUCUAACGAUGGAUUUACGGUGCCGGCGCCGCCGAUGAGACAUCGAAGUUCCCUGCAUCGACAGUCAUUUGUGUCGAAUUGCCGAGCACCUACUGUAACUGAGGAUGUUGUGGGGAAAGUUUGGUAUCAUGGAAAUUUAUCCAGAGAGGAUGCACAGGCUUUGUUGAAGACGGAAGGCGAUUUUUUGGUUCGACAAAGCGACCACACGCCCGGCAAGUACGUGCUGAGUGGCCGAACCGCUGAAAACGAGCACAAACAUCUCAUCCUACUGGACAAUCACAACAGAGUCCGAACCCGCGAUCGCACGUUCAGCAACAUCUCCGAGCUCAUCGACUAUCAUGUGAACAAUGGGAUGGCCGUAAGAUCAGAGGGUCGGGAUCGCGAGACGUCGUUGAAUCUGAUCCGACCUGUGCCGUGCCCCGGAAGUGAUGAUAUCGAAUAG
rnacentral:misc_RNA from 1 species